AGGAAAGCAGGGGAUCGCAAGACCUUGCGCUUUUGGAGCGGCCGAUGUCUGAUUAGCUAGUUGGUGAGGUAAAGGCUUACCAAGGCUUUGAUCAGUAGCUGGUCUGAGAGGACGACCAGCCACACUGGGACUGAGACACGGCCCAGACUCCUACGGGAGGCAGCAGUGGGGAAUUUUGGACAAUGGGGGAAACCCUGAUCCAGCCAUGCCGCGUGAGUGAAGAAGGCCUUCGGGUUGUAAAGCUCUUUCAGCCGGAACGAAAAGGUUACGGUUAAUACCCGUGACUAACGACGGUACCGGAAGAAGAAGCACCGGCUAACUACGUGCCAGCAGCCGCGGUAAUACGUAGGGUGCGAGCGUUAAUCGGGAUUACUGGGCGUAAAGCGUGCGCAGGCGGUUUUGUAAGUCAGAUGUGAAAUCCCCGGGCUCAACCUGGGAACUGCGUUUGAAACUACAAGGCU
rnacentral:rRNA from 1 species